ACAGGACACAAUUGGAGAACCUGGUUAUUUUACCAGGGCUUUGACUGGAAAGAAAUGCUUCCUUUAAAGAAUCAAAGUUGACUUAUAGAGCCAAUUAUAGCCCACUGGGGGAUCUGGCUUCAUACCUUGUCCACACAGAGUCCCUGUACAAGGUUCUUAACCUGUGACCCUGCACUUGAUGGAUCAGCUGACCCCACCCAGACCAAUAAAGUGGCUCAUCUGAUCUGGUGGCCGCCACCCAGGAACUGACUGAGCGCAAGAAGACAGCUCCAACUCCCUAUGAUUUCAUCUCUGACCAAUCAGCACUCCUGGAUCACUGGCUUCCCCCAACCCACCAAGUUAUCCUUAAAAACUCUUCUCCCUGAAUGUUCAGGGAGACUGAUUUGUGUAAUAAUAAAACUGGUCUCCCCCCACACACAAACACAAAGUGCAAUAUCACUGAUCAAUCAAUGUAGAAGAGAAAGUAGCAUUUCCUCAAAGACCUAGAACCAGAAAUACCAUUUGACCAGGCAAUUUCAUUACGGGGUAUAUACCCA
rnacentral:lncRNA from 1 species